rnacentral:lncRNA from 1 species
UUCAUUUCCCAAGUCAACAAUAAUAUUACCAAGAGAGAAACGUAAAGGGGCAUUUGAGUUCCCUUGUUUACUUUUUCUCAUUCGUGUGCUUAGUUUCUCUCCUAUCUUGGAAGACUUUUCUCCAUCCAACCUGUGAUUAGAUAGCUCUCCUUCCUUUGUAAAAUUAUUUCCACUUGUUGUUCCUAUUUCUUUUGCCUUAUCCCCACUUAUUCUCAUUUCUAGUUCUGUGAACUCGGGUAAGGGAAUAAACGUCAAGGUUGGGUCACCGUGAAACUUCCUCAAUAGUGAGACAUGAAAGACCGGAUGGAUGCGAGCUGUCGGCGUAAGGAGAGCUUGUAAGCCACUGUUCCGAUGUAGCGGUUCACACGAAAAGGACCAAAAUAGCGAGGUCCUAAUUUGUGGCAAGGCCGACGAGCAACCGUCACCUGUCUAUAAGGUUGCAGUUUGAGGAGGACCCAUUCAUUGACUUCGAAGGUAAUGUCUUUUCUCCCCGCUUGUGUUUGUGCUCUCAUUCUCUGUUGAGCUCGCAAGAGAUUCUAUUUUAUGGUAGCUAAUAGUGUUGUUCUUGUUUGUAAUAUAUCAGCAACCGGAUCAGAGAUGUUAGCUCGUGCCAAAAAAGUAGUCACUGUGGGAGGUUGUCGUCCAUAAAGAGCCUCAAAUGGAGAAAACCCAGUGGAUGAAUGUUUGGACAUGUUGUACCAGUACUCCACUAGUGAGAGGUGUCGAAACCAUUUAUUCGGUUGAGAACCUGUAAAGCACCGAAGGUAUGUUUGGAGACAUCGAUUAACCACUUCGGUUUGGUCGUCAGAUUGAGGGUGGUAGGCCGAACUGAAACACAAUGUGGUUCUCAAUAGUCGAAAAAAUUCCUUCCAAAAGGAACUCAAAAAGAUUUUGUCCCUAUCCGACACAAUGGACCGUGGAACUCCAUGAAGUCGCACCACUUCUUGUAGAAAACGAUUGGCUAAAACCUCUGCUGUGAAUUUAGAAGGAAGUCCAAUAAAGUGUGCAUAUUUGGAGAGCCGAUCCACAACCACCCAUAUAAUCGUAUGGCCUUGAGAUGGGGGUAAGUGAGUUAUGAAGUCCAUUGAAAUAUCCUCUCAAACCUUCUCCGGUGUGAUGAGAGGUUGCAAUAACCCUUGUUGUUUUGAUGGCGUGUAUUUAUUGUAUUGACAGGUUAUACAAUGCUUGAUGAAGUGCUUAGUGUCCUUGUAUAAGCCAAGCCAGUAGCAAGCUGCUGCAAUACGGGCAAGAGUGGGUUUCAGUCCUGAAUGGCCAGCAGCGGGUGUUGAAUGAAAUUAUGUGAUAAGCGCCAUGCGGAUUUCUUGGAAGUCAGGUAUGAAAAUCCUUUGCCCAUAAAAUAACAUCCCAUUUGAGAAGUGAAAUUUUUGUUGCAUGUUGUUGUCUGUCUCGUAGUUUUUGAUGAGUUGCAGGUCUGCCUCUGUUUGAUAAUAACUUUCAAGUUGUUCCAGAAGAUUAGGAAUGGGGGAGGAUAGAGAAAUCAACAUUGCCUUGUCUUCAUCAUGUCGCCUAGACAAGGCAUCUGCCACUCUAUUAGAGGUACCAGUACGAUACUUAAUUUCAAAUUGAAACCCAAUUAGUUUAGUGGCCCAUUUCUGUUGUUCUGGUGUAUGCAACCCUUGUGAUGUUAAAUGCUUUAGACUUUGUUGAUCUGUAAAUAUUCUGAAAUGCCGACUUAUUAAAUAUUGACGCCAUUUCUUGACUGCUUUUGUGACAGCGAACAUUUCCCUCACGUAUGCGGAGGCAUGUUGCAUGCGUCCAGACAUUUUCUUGCUGAAGAAGGAAAUGGGAUGACCAUUCUGAGAAAGGACUGCACCAAUGGCCACUGCUGAUGCAUCAGUUUCAACAUCAAAGGUGGAGGAGAAAUCCGACAGUUUCAAAACUGGAGUGUUUAUCAUUGCUUUGUUUAGAUCUGUAAAGGCUGAAUUGGUCGCUGUAUUCCAAGUGUAAUUAUGUUGUUUAAGUAGAUAGGUGAGAGGAGCGGUGAGAGAGGCGUAAUUUUUAACAAAUUUUCUAUAAAAUCCGGUGAGCCCCAAGAAACCUCUGAGCGCCGUGAGAGAACGAGGUCGUAGCCAAUCCACCAUGGCCUGAAUUUUAUCUGGAUCCGGCUGUACCCCUUCAGCUGAUAUAAUAUGCCCCAGAUAACUAACAGACGCAACUCCAAAAUAACACUUUGACAAUUUUGCAUAAAAUUGAUUAGCUGCUAAUAGGUUCAUCACAAUUCUUAAAUGAAGCAAAUGAUCAUCCAAAGUUGAACUAUAUAUAAGAAUAUCAUCAAAAAACACCAGCACAAACCUACGAAGGUGAGGCCCGAAUAAGUCAUUCAUGGCUACUUGGAACGUUGAGGGUGCAUUGGUGAGGCCAAAAGGCAUAACCAGGAAUUCAUAGUGCCCAUCGAAAGUGCGAAAAGCCGUCUUGUGGGUAUCCUUCGGGUGGACCCGAAUUUGGUGAUAUCCGGAACGUAGGUCAAUUUUUGAAAAAACUGUUGCGCCUCCCAACUCGUCUAGUAAUUCAUCAAUAGUAGGUAUUGGAAACCGGUCAGGUAUAGUAAUAGCAUUAAGUGUCCGGUAGUCUACACAGAAUCUCCAAUUUCCAUCUUUUUUUCUUACCAAUAGUAUUGGGGAGGAAAAGGGGCUAGUGCUAGGGAUCACAAUUCCAGAUUUUAACAUCUCUUGCAACAUGGUAGUCAUAGUGUCUUUAUGCGAAUGUGGGUAUAUGUAGGGUCUUGUAUUGACAGGGGUAGAAUUUGGAAGUAAGGGAAUGUGGUGAUCAUGUGGUCUAAUUGGGGGUAGGUCUGUUGGGGUUUGAAAAAUAGAUUGGAAUUCGUCAAGGAUAGGUUGGAUUUGGGGAAGAGGGUUGGUUGUUGGGUUAUUGGAUUUCAGUGUCUGUAUGUUAUUUGUGUGCACAAUAGAUAUAGCAUGAAAAGAUGCAAUAUUAUCUGUUUGUAGUAAUCUAGUAAGUUGGUGGAAGGUCGAGUAUUGCAAGUUAUAGGAUGUUUCACCAGUAAGGGUAAUCUGUGUUUCCCCCACAUUAAAUUGCAUUUAUGGAACUGAGAAAUCAGAGUCGAUAGGCCCUAGAGUGCGUAGCCAUUCAAUUCCCAAGACCACGUCAGCUCCUUUGAUUGGCAACAAAUAGAAUGGAAUGCGAAAUUCCUGGUUUUGGAGCAUGAUAGGUGUGCUGCCACAAAGGCCACUAUAGUAAAUGUGAGCCCCAUUACCAACCAUUACUGGGAAUUGUGGGGUUGGUGUGAUAAUGAGAUUGAUGUAAUGAGCUAGUCGAGGUUGUAAAAUAUUAUGGGAGCUACCAGUAUCUACCAAGACUAUGACAUAGUGGCCAUGAACUGAACCAGAGAAUUUAAGUGUCUUAGGCGAAAUUUGACCUCCUAAAGCCUGGUUAGAUAUAUGAAAGUGGAUGAGAUCUGCUAAGCCUGGAUCUGUGUUGUGAGGCUCUAGUUCUUCGGUAGAAGAAACAAGAUUGUGUAUUUCAGCUUCAUUUAAUGGUUCAUCAUCUAGCAACAAGCGAAACUUCUUAGGUUGACAUUUAUGUCCUGGAUGAAACUUUUCAUCACAGUUGUAACAAAGCCCUUGGGCUCGCCUUUCCUGCAAUUAUGUAGUGGAUUGGCGCCGGACAGGGAUAGAAAGUGCAACUGGGUUUGUGGGUGGAGUUAAGGAGAAAUUUGGGGUUUGUUUAGGAAUGCUAGUCUGGCCAGUGUAUGGAAAAAAACGGGAAGGACGUGGUGUUGAUUUAGUGUUAUCUCUCACCUUUGCUUCCACUAAUUUAGCUAACCCUAAGGCUUCUAAAAUGGAUAUAGGGUGUAAGAUAGCUAAUUCUCGCUAGAUUUCUGGUAAAAGUCCAGAAAUAAAACAAUUAAGAAUUACUUCUUGAGACAAUCC